GAGGGCGAUCACCACGGUGUGGUUCAUGACUGGGGUGAAGUCGUAACAAGGUAGCCGUAGGGGAACCUGCGGCUGGAUCACCUCCUUA
rnacentral:rRNA from 1 species